UGGGGAAUUUUGGACAAUGGGGGCAACCCUGAUCCAGCAAUGCCGCGUGUGUGAAGAAGGCCUUCGGGUUGUAAAGCACUUUUGUCCGGAAAGAAAACGUCGUGGUUAAUACCCGUGGCGGCUGACGGUACCGGAAGAAUAAGCACCGGCUAACUACGUGCCAGCAGCCGCGGUAAUACGUAGGGUGCAAGCGUUAAUCGGAAUUACUGGGCGUAAAGCGUGCGCAGGCGGUCCGCUAAGACAGAUGUGAAAUCCCCGGGCUUAACCUGGGAACUGCAUUUGUGACUGGCGGGCUAGAGUAUGGCAGAGGGGGGUAGAAUUCCACGUGUAGCAGUGAAAUGCGUAGAGAUGUGGAGGAAUACCGAUGGCGAAGGCAGCCCCCUGGGCCAAUACUGACGCUCAUGCACGAAAGCGUGGGGAGCAAACAGGAUUAGAUACCCUGAUAGUCCACGCCCUAAACGAUGUCAACUAGUUGUCGGGUCUUCAUUGACUUGGUAACGUAGCUAACGCGUGAAGUUGACCGCCUGGGGAGUACGGUCGCAAGAUUAAAACUCAAAUGAAUUGACGGGGUC
rnacentral:rRNA from 1 species